CACGGAGUUAGCCGAUGCUUAUUCGCAGAGUACCGUCAUCAAAGUACACGUACUCCUUAUUCUUCCCCCUGUAAAAGCAGUUUACAACCCAUAAGGCCGUCUUCCUGCACGCGGCAUGGCUGGAUCAGUCUUCCGACCAUUGUCCAAUAUUCCUCACUGCUGCCUCCCGUAGGAGUCUGGUCCGUAUCUCAGUACCAGUGUGGGGGAUAUCCCUCUCAGAACCCCUAUCCUAUCGUAGCCUUGGGGAGCCGUUACCUCUCCAACUAGCUAAUAGAACGCAUACUCAUCUUUCACCGCCUCAGCUUUAAUAUAAAUAUGAUGCCACAUCUAUAUACCAUUAGGUAUUAAUCCAAAUUUCUCGGGCUAUCCCUAUGUGAAAGGCAGAUUGUAUACGCGUUACGCACCCGUACGCCGGUACGAAGCCCGAAAGCUCCUCCCUCGACUUGCAUGUGUUAGGCCUGCCCGCUAGCGUUCAUCCUGAGCCAGGAUCAAACUCUCG
rnacentral:rRNA from 1 species